UACAGAGGGGGCAAGCGUUGUUCGGAAUUACUGGGCGUAAAGGGCGCGUAGGCGGCCUUCUAAGUCGAACGUGAAAUCCCCGGGCUCAACCCGGGAACUGCGUCCGAUACUGGAAGGCUUGAAUUCGGGAGAGGGAUGCAGAAUUCCAGGUGUAGCGGUGAAAUGCGUAGAUAUCUGGAGGAAUACCGGUGGCGAAGGCGGCAUCCUGGACCGACAUUGACGCUGAGGAGCGAAAGCUAGGGGAGCAAACGGG
rnacentral:rRNA from 1 species